GAUGAACGCUGGCGGCGUGCUUAACACAUGCAAGUCGAACGAUGAAGCCCAGCUUGCUGGGUGGAUUAGUGGCGAACGGGUGAGUAACACGUGAGUAACCUGCCCUUAACUCUGGGAUAAGCCUGGGAAACUGGGUCUAAUACCGGAUAGGAGCGUCCACCGCAUGGUGGGUGUUGGAAAGAUUUAUCGGUUUUGGAUGGACUCGCGGCCUAUCAGCUUGUUGGUGAGGUAAUGGCUCACCAAGGCGACGACGGGUAGCCGGCCUGAGAGGGUGACCGGCGAGAGGGGGAAUGAGAGCAGGACGAGACACAGACGGGAGGCAGCAGGGGGGGAUAGUGCACAAGGGGCGCAAGUCGUAUGCAGCGAAGACGCGUGAGGAAGGAAGGCCGUCGGGUCGAAAACAACAAUCAGGAGGGAAGAAGCGAAAGUGAAGGGACCUAAAGAAGAAGAAACGGCUAACUACGUG
rnacentral:rRNA from 1 species